rnacentral:piRNA from 1 species
UCGUGUCGAUGUAGCUCUUACCUCACAUGU